CUACGGGGUGCUGCAGUGGGGAAUAUUGGACAAUGGGCGCAAGUCUGAUCCAGCAAUGCCGCGUGAGUGAAGACGGCCUUAGGGUUGUAAAACUCUUUCGCUAGGGAAGAUAAUGACUGUACCUAGUAAAGAAGUCCCGGCUAACUCCGUGCCAGCAGCCGCGGUAAUACGGAGGGGACUAGCGUUGUUCGGAAUUACUGGGCGUAAAGAGGUCGUAGGCGGACUGACAAGUUAGAGGUGAAAUCCCAGGGCUCAACCCUGGAACUGCCUUUAAAACUGUCAGUCUAGAGACCGGAAGAGGUUAGGGGAAUACCUAGUGUAGAGGUGAAAUUCGUAGAUAUUAGGUGGAACACCAGUGGCGAAGGCGCCUAACUGGUCCGGUACUGACGCUGAGGAACGAAAGCGUGGGGAGCAAACAGGAUUAGAUACCCCUGUAGUC
rnacentral:rRNA from 1 species